AGAGUUUGAUCCUGGCUCAGGAUGAACGCUGGCGGUCUGCUUAACACAUGCAAGUCGAACGGAGGUCUUCGGACCUUAGUGGCGGACGGGUGAGUAACGCGUGAGAAUCUGCCCUUAGGAGGGGGAUAACGACUGGAAACGGUCGCUAAUACCGCAUAUGCCGAGAGGUGAAAUCUAAUUGGCCUGAGGAUGAGCUCGCGUCGGAUUAGCUAGUUGGUGGGGUAAGGGCCUACCAAGGCGACGAUCCGUAGCUGGUCUGAGAGGAUGAUCAGCCACACUGGGACUGAGACACGGCCCAGACUCCUACGGGAGGCAGCAGUGGGGAAUUUUCCGCAAUGGGCGAAAGCCUGACGGAGCAAGACCGCGUGCGGGAAGAAGGUCUGUGGAUUGUAAACCGCUUUUGAUAGGGAAGAUGAUGACGGUACCUAUCGAAUCAGCCUCGGCUAACUCCGUGCCAGCAGCCGCGGUAAUACGGAGGAGGCAAGCGUUAUCCGGAAUUAUUGGGCGUAAAGCGUCCGCAGGUGGUUUGUCAAGUCUGCUGUCAAAGCGCGGAGCUUAACUCCGUAAAGGCAGUGGAAACUGACAGGCUAGAGUGCGAUAGGGGCAGGGGGAAUUCCCAGUGUAGCGGUGAAAUGCGUAGAUAUUGGGAAGAACAUCGGUGGCGAAAGCGCCCUGCUGGGUCUGCACUGACACUGAGGGACGAAAGCUAGGGGAGCGAAAGGGAUUAGAUACCCCUGUAGUCCUAGCUGUAAACGAUGGGUACUAGGCGUUGUCCGUAUCGACCCGGGCAGUGCCGUAGCUAACGCGUUAAGUACCCCGCCUGGGGAGUACGCUCGCAAGAGUGAAACUCAAAGGAAUUGACGG
rnacentral:rRNA from 1 species